rnacentral:rRNA from 1 species
UACGGAGGGAGCUAGCGUUAUUCGGAAUUAUUGGGCGUAAAGCGCGCGCAGGUGGUUUCUUAAGUCUGAUGUGAAAGCCCACGGCUCAACCGUGGAGGGUCAUUGGAAACUGGGGAACUUGAGUGCAGGAGAGAAGAGUGGAAUUCCACGUGUAGCGGUGAAAUGCGUAGAGAUGUGGAGGAACACCAGUGGCGAAGGCGACGUCGUUUGGCCGUG